ACAAAAAUGAUGUCAUUGCAACAUUGCAGAUUUAGACUUAACUUUAACAAAAAUUGGUCUCCAAUGGCAUGUCAUCACUAAGUUACCAUUGUCACAAUUUAAGAUAUACUCCUGUGAAUAAGAGCACUGUAAGCGUUGUAUUUCAAUUGCUAAGUUAUUAUCUAGCAACCAGGAAAUUUGUACCAUCAAAAAAUCAAAUUUUGUUCAUGGACAUUAUAGUAUCAACUGAAGAAUGUGCUUUAAAAUUGUAGGAAAAUGUUAAUAUUGAAAAAGCUGAAUUUUUGCGACAAAAUAUUCAGAAUCAGCAAUAAAAAAAAUCAAAGAUCAACUUGGUAACUGCACUAUUUCUGCUGUCGAUCCUACACAAAAUUUUCUUUGUUUAAUUCAACAAACUCUCAGUAAAUUAAAAAAGGAAAAAAAAA